CACGCCGUAAACGAUGAGCACUAGGUGUCGGGGCCGCAAGGCUUCGGUGCCGCAGUUAACGCAUUAAGUGCUCCGCCUGGGGAGUACGCACGCAAGUGUGAAACUCAAAGGAAUUGACGGGGACCCGCACAAGCAGCGGAGCAUGUGGUUUAAUUCGAAGCAACGCGAAGAACCUUACCAGGACUUGACAUCCCUCUGACAGUCCCUUAACCGGGAUCUCCCUUCGGGGCAGAGGUGACAGGUGG
rnacentral:rRNA from 1 species